ensembl:lncRNA
CUUAGUCCAUUCAGGCUGCUAUACAAAAUGCCAUAGACUGGGUGGCUUCUGAACAACAGAAAUUGAUUUCUCACGGUUCCGGGGGCUGGGAAAUCCAAGGUGAAGGCGCCGGCAGAUUCAGCAUCUGGUGAGAGCCCACUUCCUCGUUCAGAGACAGCUGUCCUCUCACUAUAACCUCCCGUGGCAGAAGGGGCAAGAGAGCUCCCUGGGGUCUCUUUUAUAAGGACACUAAUCCCCCCUCAUGACCUAAUCACCUCCCAAAUGCCCCACUUCCAGAUACCAUCACGUUAGGGGUUAGGUUUCCACAUAGGAAUUUUGGGGGACACAAACAUUCAGUCUAUAGGAGGAGGGGGGCUUGGAAGAGGAAAGAGAAUCAAAGGAGGGUUUCCCAAGAUGCACAGCGUAGACUAAGGGAAAAAGAGUAAAGGUUAAAGAUGUCAGAGAGCCCACGGUGUGCGUGUGUCCUGAAAGCCAAGAGCACCGAGGCCGUAAGAGCAGCGAAGGCCUGCAGAGCUCGUUCUUAAUCAGCUGGCAUUCUCGGUGACUUGGGGAAGUCCAGGGGUGGCUCCAUGCUCAGAGUGGUCAAGCAGACCCUUCUCGGGGGGUCGCCCAGCCUCUCAGGCUUGCAGGGUGGGCUCCCAGGGACCAGGGCUGAGGGACCUCAUCUUGCCUCACCACCUCUUCCCACAAAGCACAUUCUCUCUCCUGGUCACGUCAGGCUUGAGCACAGAGAGCGCAGGCCUGGAGCUGCAGCCCGUCGGCAGUCAGCCCAGCGAGGGUUUCGAUGAAAGCCCUGGUUCCUCUCCUUCCCCAGGUGUGGUGCUCAGCUUGUUCAGCUCUGUCUCUGAUUCUGUGGGGGAGCCCUGUAAUCCUUCUAAUAAAGUCCCUUUUUGGUGUAAGUUAGCCAGAGUCAGUUUUGGUUGGUUGCUAGCAAUCGAAAAAUAAAAAUAAAAUCCUUAACCACAUUAACCAAUUCUUAACCGAUUCCUCCACUCAUACCUGAAAUGCUGACAACAGACACUGCUCGGGGUAAGCCAUCCCUUCCCCUUUGCGCCUCGAGAUGGGGGUGACUGGUGAAUCCUGACCUCUGAGGGUCAAUUGAUUCUCCUCCAUGACAGGUGAGGAGAGGGGAAAACACAGACUAGGAGGAGACAGCAAUACAUGUGCGAAAGAUGUUGGGAGAUGUCAUACUAAUCAGGACUCUUUCUCUAAGAAAUGACGUAAAAAACUUGAGGAAUUUCCUGGCUUUACAGUUGAGCAGUCCAAUGGUAGAAUCGGCUUUAGUGGAUCAAACUUUGUCCAGGAGUGUCCUGGUUUCUCUCUGUCGCUUGGCUCAGCAAUGCCGUCUUCUGGGUCUUAGCUCUAUUCUCAGCUGCUCUUCUCAUGGUCACAAGAGAGCUGCAGCACCUCCAGACCUCACACACUCAUUCCUUUUAAACUCUCUCCUAAGUAAUCCUUUCCCAUAGUUUUAAACGUAUUAACUUCCAAACCUAUAUAUCCACUUCCAGCCUUGCCCCUGAUAUCCAGCCCUAUCUACCAACUGCCUGCUUGAUAUCUCCACUUCAAAGUCUAGGAGGUGUCUCAAACUUCAUUAAAGUGCAGUUGGGUUCUCCAAACGGGAGAGAGUGUGUUACUGAACCAGAGUGUGUUACUGGGCGUUUUUGCCGGCCGCCCAGAAAGCCAAACACCGAGACAAUGAGAUUGCAGCAGAGAGAGUUUACUCACAAGGCAGCCACGUGAGGAAGUGAGAGCAUGAGCCUCAAAUUUCGUUUCCCUGAAAGUAGGGACUUAGGGAUAUUUAUGGGGUAGGUGGGCAAGGUGGUCUGAAAUGGUGGAGAGAGGUGAUUGGAGGUGAGGAGGGGUGAGGUAAUUGAUGAUGUGCGCAGGCGUAGUCUGACUCCAUGCCUCUUCAUAGGACCCAUGUUCACAAAAUGGCAGCAUUAGCAUGAUCUGAGGGUGGAGUUUUUAGCCUCUUGACGUCAAAAGGUCGCCUAUUGGACAUCUGCACGGGCCCAGUUGAUGAGUUGGUGGUCUCAACAGGCCUGAAGUGGACAAGGGGCUCUAAUUCCUGAAAAACAGCUCACACACCCAUCACCAUGGGGACCCAGGCUCCAGGGAGAUGUUAUCUAAGGAACCUAGUGGGAGUCUGAUAGUGUAUUGCCUAAACAGCACAGUUAACAAUGCGUGAGUUAACAGCUAAAAGCUAUAAUCACUAAUUGCAAAAAGGAAAAACGUUAGUUCCUAGCUACUUAAUUAUCAAUGGCUAACUCCUUGCCCGUUUCAAGUGUAUGCCACCUUGAUCAAACCUACUUGGUCAUACAAUCCCUUUUUUCAAGGACCACCUAUGAACAUUUAGGAAUGUGUGUUUUGUGGAACACGGUUUGAGAAAACUCAGGUGAGAUUGUCUCCACGAUUCCUUCCAGUUCUCAAAGACUGGUUUGGGGAUUUAGCAGAACAAUAAAACAGACGUAGCAUUUAAAAUAAGGAUUUUUUAAAGUUUCAUGAUAGAGUUUGUUGAUAUAAUAACAUCCCCCAAAAGACUGCUGGGUCUGACCUCACUCUACACAGACAGAGGAGCAAGGAAAACCAAUCCCCCAGUCAUUCUCCAGCUUCAGCCCUCACUCACAACUCUAAGGAAGCAAAGAGACGCACCUCAAGCUUCCAAAGCCAUUAGCAUGUCCUUCAAAGAAAACUCCAUCGAACUCAAAGAUUCUUUUCCCGAAAUUGCUAGACUACAAUCAAGUUUUCACAGCAGAACACUUUGACCUUUAAUACAUCUUGACUGCAAACCAAAAGUACACCAUUUCUUCAGCGGACUUUAGUAGAUUUUUCACUUGCAAAGGGAGCCCUAGCUCUGUAUUAGUCAGAGUUCUCCAGAGAAACACAAGGAACAGGAUGUAUGUAAAGAGAGACAGAGUUCUAAUAAGAAAUUGACUCACACAGUGAUGAAGUCUUAAGAUCUGCAGUUGGCAAGCUGGAGACCCAGGAAAGUCAACAGUGAGGUUCUAGUCAGAGUCUGAAGGCCCGAGAACCAGAGAGCGAUUGGCCUAAGUUCCAGUCCAAGACCCGGCAGGCUUGUGACCCAAGAAGAGCCAGUGUUCCCUCUUGACCGAUGUCCCAGCUCAAGCAAUCAGGCAGGAGGAGCUCUCUCUUACUAGAGGGAGGGUCAGCCUUUUUGUUCUAUUCAGGUCUUCAACUUACUGGCUGAGGGCCACCACAUUGGGGAGGGCCAUCUCUACUCAGUCUGCCUGUUCAAAUGUUAAUCUCAUCCAAAAACACCCUUAUGGACACACCCAGAAUAGUGUUUGACCACAUAUCCGGACACCACAUGGCGCAGUCAAGUGGACAUGUGAAUUUAACCAUCGCAAGGCACUUGAGUACACAGCCAAUCCUUGCCUUCUCCUGACUUCCUUGAAUAACCUCUGUGCUGCAUUGUGCCACAUCCACUUCGUUACUCUGGAGCAGUGUCUCCCAGAAUCCCUACCCCUACAUGGUUCAAGGAUAGAGUUGGCCAACAAAGGGACGUGCGUGAGACUUGGAAAGCAGAAGGGAAGCAGCAGCCACUGUUCUCUGAAGGACAUGAUUGUCGCAUCAAGUGAUGGAUGGUCGCAAAGAUACCUAAUGGGCUCAGGUAUAUCCUCAUUCUCCUUUGCUCCAUGUCCAGCUCUUCUUCCCCACUGUUGGCCUUGCUGACCAAUAGCAGCCCCAGCCCCACCACUGAAUGCUUGGCUGCUGAUUCGCAGAGGUGGGGUCUACACAGGCAACCUGGACAGCUCCACAAGCUCCCCUUUAUGGCCCCACUUCAGCAACUGGAUGUUCCUGUCUUCUCGGAUCACUAGUCAGUGACUCUUGUGGUCCUCACCUCCCCAGCUCCUCCUGUAAUUGAGGAAGGUAUGAGUUCUAUAAUGUGUCCUUCAGGAUGUAACCCUCAGGAUGGCUCAGCUUCCCCGGCUGACCCUGAUCCAUGCCACCUCUUUAACCUUGUUGUUUUAAACCUACAGUUUAAAUGUUCGUGCAGAGUUAUAAACGAAUUAAGGCAAGGGGUUAGUACUAAGGUAAGAAGUGGCAGGCAAAUGCUAAAACUCCCUCAUUAGAGGAUAGCUGAAGUGUAGCACAGAGCAGGCCCAGUGGCCUAUAGAAAACCUACAAGUCCAGACCAAAACCCUCACCUUACCUUCUCUCAAAGUACAGAAAUAUCUUCAAGAAAUUCAAAUAUCAUUGCAGUACUGCCCCUACAGCUAGAUGCUUUCAAUAUCCUUUACUUUGGUGGGUGUACAUGUGUCAUUAUUAUGACACAUUAUUUUGGUGGUUAUUAUUUAGUGCUUUCUUUAAUGCUCCCAGCUUAUUUGAAUAAAUGUUCAUAAGCAUGCACUUUCCAUAUGCUCUCAUAUAUAUUAUAUAAAAGCUCAUUUCUCACGUGUUUUUGGAUAAUUUCUCUUUACCUCAGACACAAGCAAUCAGGUAUAGGUAGCAAAUUUCAACAAGGAAUGUAGCAUGUCCAUAUAUGCAUAUAGAGCCAUCUAAUAAUGAAUAUUAUACAACUGAUCUAUAUUAUGUUUUUGAAGACUUCAUAAUAUUAAAAGAUCAGUACAGGAUAGAAAAAAAGUAUAUAUAUAUAUAUAUAUAUAUAUAUAUAUAUUUAAAGAGGGAGAAAAAACAUGUUCUCCCUUAAGUAAGAGAUAUGUGUACAUAAAAUAUUGGAAGGAAAUUCUGUAAAUGCCUUCCAGCCAAAGACCACCAGAAACACACGUGUCGUUGAACACUGACUUGUUGCACAACCACGGGGAAACGUGAGAUGUCUCCAGGGCCCCCAGCAUGAGCGUGCGACCUGUAAGUGCUGGGCCAUGUACAACUGCACAGGUUACACACCGUGUACUUGGUUUAAUACUCUGCUGUUGCCAUCUUGAAAUUCUUAGUAAUUUCUUGACAAGGGCCCUACGUUUUCAUUUUGCACUAGGCCCCACAAGUUAUGUAGCCAGUCCCACGUGACUCUAUUAGAGAAGGUUAGAAGGUUCUUCUUGUAGGAUUUGGACUUGUGUUAGGUGAUUUGGGAGAAGGUUCAAGGAAACAAGGCUUAGCUCUGGACUGGAUAUUGGCGGGAUGUGGAGGUAAUUCUGUAAUCGGGGUAACUAUGUGUUAGUCAAGGUUCUGCAGAGAAGCAGAGCCAAUGGGAGAUAGAUUAGAUAGAUUAGAUAGAUAGAUAGAUAGAUAGACAGAUAGACAGAUGAUAGAUAGAUGGUUUUUGGUUUUGGGGGGUUUUGUUGAGGAAGAUUAGCCCUGAGCUAACAUCUGCUGCCAAUCCUCCUCCUUUUGCUGAGGAAGACUGGCCCUGAGCUAACAUCCAUGCCCAUCUUCCUCUACUUUAUAUGUGGGACGCCUGCCACAGCAUGGUGUGCCAAGUGGUUCCAAGUCCACACCCGGGAUCCGAACCAGUGAACCCCAGGCUGCCGAAGCGGAACGUGUGCACUUAACCACUAUGCCACCAGGCCGGCCCUAGAUAGAUGUUUUAAGGAAUUGGCCCAUGCAUUUGUGGGGACUGGCAAGUCCACAAUCAUUGGCCAGUGGAUGUUGAUGGAAAAUUCAGGAAAAAGUUGAUGUUGCACUCUUAAGUCCAAAAUCCACAGAGCAAGCCAGGCAGUCUGGAAACUCAAGUAGGUUUCUAUGUUGCAGUCUUGAGGCUAAAUUCCUUCUUCUCUGGUAAGCCUCAGUCUUUGUUCUUGAGGCCUUCAACUGACUGGAUGAGGCCCACCCACCUUAUGGAGGGUAAUCUGCUUUCUUCAAAGACAGCUGAUUUAAAUGUUAGUCACAUCUAGAAAAUACCUUCACAGCAACAUCUAGACUGUGGACUGAUGAUCUGGGAGCUGUUCCCAAUAAUACACUUCUCUCCUGAGCACAAGGCAAGAUUGUGCUUUGCAUGCCCCUCUUUGAAGUGAUGUGCAGAAGUGUAACUUGCUUUUGAUCAAGGAAAUGUGAGCAGCAGGGAUGUCUGUCACUUGAAGGCAGAAGCUUUCAGAGCCAGUGUUUAAUGCCCCACAUUCUCUCUGACAUGGUGAAUGGCAGUGCCCCAGAUGGUGACGGCUCUGUGGGCCUCAGUUGCAAUGGAAAGAUGUUGGGAGCACAGCCCCAGAUGACACAGAAGGGACACCAUUAUGAGCUUAAUGUUUGUGUCUCCCCCGCAUGUUGAAGCGCUCGCUCUCGAUGUGAUGGUGUUUGGAGAUGAGGCCUCUGGGAAGGGAUUAGGUUUCAAUUAGGUCCUAAGGGUGAGGCCCUCGUGAUGGGAUUAGUGCUCUUAUGAGAUAAGACAUCAGAGAGCUUGCUCUCUUGAGCACUGUCAUGCUGUGGGAGGACACAGUGAAAAGGCAAUAGGCUGCAAGCCAGGAAGAGUACCCUCACUGAACACCACCUCUGCCAGCACCUUGGUCUUGGGCUUCCCAUCCUCCAGAACAGGGAGAAAUAAAUGUCUCUUGUUUAAGCCCCCCAGACUAUGAUAUUUUGUUGUAUCAGCCCGAGAAGCCUGAGACAGACCCAUGGCAUGAAUAAGAUUUGGGUGAUGUUUGUUACUGCAACAUGAGCUCGUCUAUCCUGACUGACACAGAGUCCAAAGCCAUGGUAUUAACCACUGUGCCGUACUGCCUCUUCACUGCCACUCGGAACUUCUUCAUGAGACUAAUAUUACUGAGCGAGCCCAUUCUAGGGUACUGCAGUCCAGAAUGAAGGAAAGCUCAACAGAACACAAAACUAACAGGAGCACAAAGGGACAGCAAACACGAAGCCGGAAACGUCAGCCCUCUAGCGUACCCAUAAACUGCAGAUGGUUUCGUUUCUUCAACUUGAAGCCGAGCCUUGGGGACGUGGGCCUUGUGCUAAGGGGAGUUGGAGGAGAUGAAACAGCACAGAGCCAGGAUCUAAUGAAGCGCAGAGCCCAGAAGCCCUGCUGAGCGAGUCCUGCAACGUCAGAUUCCAAUGCAAAGAUCUUCUUCCUCCCUUCUCUCCCUCCUCUUAGAUCUCUGCACAGCCCUCAGAAGCCUCGUUUGCUUUCUGGCUAAUUUGAUUUGGGGCCAAGUCUCGAGGCCCUCUGCUGGGUUUCCGUGAAGAUUCCCUUUGAAGACGAGCUCCUUUGAACUCCUGCUUUCUCUCAGCACUAUCAGAAGUGCCACAUUCCGUCGGCUCUUUAGAAUUUUUCAAAGCGGAUUCACUCUGAUUUCCAGGGUGUCCUGACUGUUUGCGAUUGAAAGGCUCACUGUGUCAGGGGCGUCUGAGUUCUUGUUUUUCAAAUCACUGACUUCUCUCUGUGACACUUUUUGUCUCCACUUUAAACACCAACAACCACAAGACACAGAACGCGCUGACAGUGGUGUCAGCAUCAUUAGAUGAUUUGGGAGGCAGAGAAAAAUCCUCCCAUUCAAUAAGUCUUGAUGCCUACUACAUCCUAGGCACCGUGCCAGGCACCAAGGUACAACAGUGAGUUCAUUUUAGAUAUGGUUCCUCCCCUCGUGGAGUUUACAGUCUGGUAGGGAAAAAAAUAAAAAGAAAAGAAAAAAAUUUAAAGAAAUAAAUAAGUACAUCCAACUGUGAAAGUGCCUUUAAGGAAAAAACACGUUGCUAAGACAGAGACUUAAAAGAGAUGAGUGGGGGUGGAGGAGGGAGGGGGAAGAAACGCCACAGUUAGUGGGAGGUCCUCCGAGAUCAGUCACCAAGAUGGAAUUAGACUGUGACAGAUUUUUGGGGAGGAAAACACUCGUAAAGAAUGGAGGGAGGAAGCCAGAGAAGGAGGAAGAACUUUCAGACCACACUGCAGGCCUAACACCACUGAGGGAGAAGGGUAAAGAAGGAACAUUGAGUAGGAAGAAGAACAGUCUUGGACUACAGUGGAAGUGCCAGAAAACUUUGGCCAGACUCAUGGGGAGUUCUUUUUUUUUUUUUCUUUUCUGGUGAGGAAGACUGACCCUGAGCUAACAUCCGUUACCAAUAUUCCUCUUUUUUGCUGGAGGAAGAUUGACCCUGAGCUAACAUCUGUGCCAAUCUUCCUCUAUUUUGUAUGUGGGAUGCCACCACGGCAUGGCUUGAUGAGUGGUGUGUAGGUCUGUGCCCUGGAUCUGAACCUGCGAACCCCAGGCCGCUGAAGCACGGUGUGCAAACUUAAACACUGCACCACUGGACGGGCCCCUCAUGGGGAGUUGUUGAGCCAAAGUUUCCCCUCCGAGGAAUGCUGUAUCUCGCAGGAAUGGGCCUGAUGUGUUGAUACCCUUGCCGUGCUGGGCCAUGCUGGGAGCAGCUGCAGGAAGCUUGGUGUCCGUAUCAAAGCAGUGGUGAGUGGCAGCAGCUGGAGGGGUCAGUCAAGAGUACUCCCUGCGGCACAUCUCAGAGGUCACUGUCAUGGCUGUCACUUCUACUUCUCCAUGCAUGUUUGGGGAGCAGCCCUCCGUGAUUUCCAUGGCCUUUCUUCCUGGGGAGAAACUCGAGAGAGGGAAGUCAGUGGUUCAGACUAAGGCCUUUGUCGCUACAGUUGGUCUUGGGGCUGCAACAGGUACUCACACUUUCCUCCACUACUCAUUCUAAAUCUCCUCCCCCUUGACUGUCACCUUAGUGGGACUUGAUGGCUUGCUUGGUGACGUGGCCCAAACCUUCACUCCUGAGAAGUCUGAACUCUUGGCAAAUCAUACCUUCCUCAGGCUAGGGUUACUGCACAUGUCCAUUCACAGUUUCAGUGGGCAAGGGACUGCCAGGAGGCCCCCCAAGCACAUCACUUGGGUUUCACACACAUUCUUCCCCAUCCCCAUUGGGUAAAAGCAGCCCCACCCCUUCCUGCUGACCAGGGUCAGCUACCCCUAUAAGGGUGGUGAUUCCCUUUCUCUCCUGCUCGCCUGGGCACAGGUGUCCAAAGGGUCCUGGCACAGCUGGUACUUCAACGGGACCCUCGCUGUGUCAUCAGUCAAGAGUGUGCCCCCUAUGGGGACCAGGACCUACAACUUGAUAGAGCCUAGACUUGCAGAGACAGGAAGCAGAGAAUCCCCCAGAGGAUCGUUGCAAGUGACGGGGAGUGGAGGCCCUCCUGCUUCUGUCCCUUGCUUCCCAGACCCAUGUACUCUCCUGCUGGGGACAUGGCACCAUCGGGAGGUCUCUGAUUUAAUACAUGUGUCGCAUCCUGAAGGAUGACGGCCCUUGUUUCACAGUGUUGCAUAUGAGCUGGCGUUCCAGCUACACCCUUAGACGGCCAUUCCAAUAGUCUUUGUGACCAGCUGCUUCUGGAUGGUACAGAAUAUAAUCUGACCAUGGGUCCACUCCUGUGCCUCCUUCAUUGUGAAGCAGGUCCCUGCUCGAAUGCUCUGUUGUAUGGGAUUCUGUGCCCAUGGAUCGGGCAUUCCAUAAGCCUCCAGAUGGUGGUACUGACAGAAUCUCCCAGCUGGAAAGGCCAAGCCACAUCCAGACUAACCCAGGAUAGACAGGAAUCCCUGUGAGGAUACACCACUGGCAGCAGCUGGAGCCAUUCAGCCCCACUCCCUGCAGCGGGAGCUCUGAGCAGCGCGUGUUCAUGACUGUGCAACUCCUUUAAAUAGGGUGGAAGGAAGAAGAUGCUGCGGGACUUGUGCUCAGAGGAGUUGUGGGUUGAACUGCUUACCCUGAAAAGAUACAUGGACGUCCUAACCUCUUCUACCUAUGAGCGUGACCUUAUUUGGAAAUAGGGUCUUUGCAGAUGUUAUCAAUUAAAAUGAGGUCAUCCUGGAUUAGGGUGGGCACUAACCCAUUGGCUGGUGUCCUUCUAAGAAGAGGGAAAUUUGCACAUAGACAGACAGAAAGAAGAAUGCCACGUGAAGACAGAGGCGAGGUUGGAGUGAUGCAUCUGCAAGGCAAGGAAUGCCAAGGAUGGCUGGCAGCCUCCAGAAGCUAGAAGAAGCAAGGAAGGAUUCUCCUGAAGGUUGGCUCCUCCAGAAGGAGCCAACCCUGCCAACACCUUGAUUUCAGACAUCUAGAACUGUGAAAGGAUAAAUUUGUGUUGUUUUAAGCCACCAAGUUUGUGGCGCAUUGUGAUGGCAGCCCUGGGACAUGAACACAAAAGGUGAUAUUUAGCCUGAGACCCACCAGAUCGAGAGAAGGCAGCUGUGCAGGCCCCCUGGAAAUAGUGUGCCUGGCAAAGGAAGACCAAAGGUAAUGCCCCUCAGGCCAGGAGGGAUGCAAGCAGGCUGGAGGACCUGAAAGAGGACCUGUGUGACUGGAGCCUGUUGGAGCUGAGAAUGGAGACGUGAGCAGGCCACAGACCAGCAUUCUCUCUGCUCCCAGAACGUGUCUUUGGAGGCAUGAGUCUGCAUUCCUAACAAGCCUGCAGGUAAGUCGGAUAGCAUUAAAAUCGGAGGACCACUGCCCUCAGGUAUGUUGAGAACACAGUCCUUGAGCACCAAUGCAACAGAGACAGCACUCGCUCCAAGAGCUGCAAGAGUGAGGGAUCACAAACCUAAGAGGAUUAAACCGGCACCGUCUAUUCAUAGGAUUAGUCCCUCCUUUUCUUGCAGCCUCCACCUUUACCACGUCAUCACCCUAGACCUUGUGAUGGGUCUGAAUUGGCUGCUGCUUGAUAAUAUAGGGAAGGAAAGGAAUCUUUUCUACCUCUCCCCAUCUUACUUCUCUGGCCAGGGCCCUGUAAAUUAGGCAGACAAAAGACAGAUUGAAAGAGAAAAACAGAAGUUUAUGAGCACGUGCAUCCAGCGUGGACGUGGGAGCCCUCAGAGACGAGCAACUCAAAGGGGUGGUUAGACCAGGGGCUUACGUAGCAUCUUAACAAAAGAACAACAUGGUUUUAGAGAAGCGACAAGACAAAGGAAAGGACUUUGAGGCUCCAGGGGCAGUAAACUGUGUGGGAAGAUAAAUAAGUGGGGAACCAGGUAGAGAAGGGUGGUUUUCAGCAGGGUUUGCCAUGUAGAUUCCUCUGGUGCCCAUAAGGGUCUAGAAUUGUCUCCAGUCAUUAACUCUGUCCCUCCUGGUAGAGAGAGAAGGGGGGACCUCCUUACAAAUUUAGGUCCUGCUUUUAGGCACAUAGGGGAGCACGGAGAGCUUCUCCUGUAUCUACGGCUGCUCAGUUGCCUUCAGCUCAAAAUAAUCCUUAUGCCCAAGUGGCAUAUUUUGGGGUCACAUAUUCUGCUACCCUUCAAU